rnacentral:rRNA from 1 species
UGGCAGUCUAUACUCGUGACACGUGCGACGAUGAAGUCCGCUUCGGUGGUGGAUUAGUGGCGAACGGGUGAGUAACACGUGGGCAAUCUGCCCUGCACUCUGGGACAAGCCCUGGAAACGGGGUCUAAUACCGGAUAUGACUACCGAUCGCAUGGUUGGUGGUGGAAAGCUCCGGCGGUGCAGGAUGAGCCCGCGGCCUAUCAGCUUGUUGGUGGGGUGAUGGCCUACCAAGGCGACGACGGGUAGCCGGCCUGAGAGGGCGACCGGCCACACUGGGACUGAGACACGGCCCAGACUCCUACGGGAGGCAGCAGUGGGGAAUAUUGCACAAUGGGCGAAAGCCUGAUGCAGCGACGCCGCGUGAGGGAUGACGGCCUUCGGGUUGUAAACCUCUUUCAGCAGGGAAGAAGCGAGAGUGACGGUACCUGCAGAAGAAGCGCCGGCUAACUACGUGCCAGCAGCCGCGGUAAUACGUAGGGCGCGAGCGUUGUCCGGAAUUAUUGGGCGUAAAGAGCUCGUAGGCGGCUUGUCGCGUCGGAUGUGAAAGCCCGGGGCUUAACCCCGGGUCUGCAUUCGAUACGGGCAGGCUAGAGUUCGGUAGGGGAGAUCGGAAUUCCUGGUGUAGCGGUGAAAUGCGCAGAUAUCAGGAGGAACACCGGUGGCGAAGGCGGAUCUCUGGGCCGAUACUGACGCUGAGGAGCGAAAGCGUGGGGAGCGAACAGGAUUAAAUACCCUGGUAGUCCACGCCGUAAACCUUGGGAACUACGUGUGGGCGACAUUUCUCGUCUGCCGUGCCGCAUAUAACGCAUUAAGUUCCCCGCCUGGGGAGUACGGCCCCAACGCGAGAACUCCCAGGAAUUGAGGGGGGCCCGCACAAAAAGCCGGAGCAUUUGAUUUAUUUCUACGCAGCGCGGAGAAACAUUUUUAAGGCGUGUAGAAACUCCAGCGUAAGAGCGUCAGAGUUUGUCCCCC